GCCCCUCUGGUCUAACUUCCUGUUUCCAUUUUUUGCCCUGUGUUUCAGAAUGUUAUGGGUUUUAUCUCUCCUUUGUGUUCAAGUUGUCAUAACGGCGACGCUGUAUCCUAUGAUUUUAUCAGCUAGUUAGGUUUUACAGCGCAUACAUAUAUUGCUUUAUCUCUCCGAUGUGAUGACUAUCUAUUGAAUAGUGAAGGUUUUAUCAAAAUAUAUUUUGGGGUUUGAUGUUGGAAAGGGUUCGAGGGAAGGUCAUGUUGUUGAGACAGCACACAGGAACCAUUGGAUAAUAACCACAGACUAUGUACCUUAGGUAGGUAGACAGAUCUGUUCUUACUCACAUGCUCACUGCCGACCUCAUCCAUUGCUUCCAAAGUCUAUCUCACAGCUUCAUUGUUCAUUCAUUCAUCUUAUCUACGACUAUUGACCUAUUCUAUCCUCUCAAGUACUACCGAGGUCACUGACAUUCUGGGAUCCCAACCUUUCUCCUCAAAUAAUAAACAAUGUCCUCUAUCUCAUCAGGAACACCGUACCAGUGGCCGAGAUCUUCGUACGCCUUCCAUGUUACAUGCAUCCGCAAUGUAUCCGAGAGAAAGGUCGCCAUCUUUUCACCCAGAUGAACUGAUACCUUUGGGUCAACUGCGCCGUGGCCAAUGAAAACAUGAGCUGGAAGGUAGUCUACCACUAGGCUGCAGGCUGACUCCUUGGGGAUCGUCAGUGCGGGGAGAUCAAGGAUAUCACGAACGUGGUUAAGAGCCUCGAGCGCUUGGACCUGCUCCCCAGCAACAUCAUCCGUUGACCCUGCAAAGGGGUCUGUUUCCGUACCGAAGGACAACCCGUCACUAUCAGAAGUGUGAGAUUCUGCUAAAUCAUGCAAUUGGCUCUCAAACGGGAGCCACCCGCUCAUUCCAACAAAUCCUCCUAGCUGUUCACUGCCAUCAGGUCCGAAUCCCCCACCCAGCAGGGUGAAUAUUGAUGCUGCGCAUCCUUGGCUGAGCCCACCCAGGACGAUCCGUCCGUAACCCCCUGGGCCGAGAAGCGUUGCUUCGAUUGCAAUCAGAUUCCUCAAGAACUCCGCUGUCUGACAGAGGCCAUCUACCUGAAGAUCCGUUCUACGGCCAGGGUCUUCGAGCGAGUAAUUGUCAAACCACUGAUUGAUGGGUGUCUUUUUCAGCACCGUGGAUCUCCGCUUGCUUGCUGUGGGGAAAACAAAUUUCACCGUAGGGAGUCGGGCACGCAACUUUGCAGACUCCAGAAGCUCAUGACCGAAGCGUUCAGCAUUGCUACCACGACCAUGAAGGAGUAUAAGAGUGUGCGUAUGGUUAGGCUUUAGAGGCGCGAUAACCAAUGGUUCGGGAUAGGCUCUCUUUUGCGGUGGCAUCGUCAUCCUUUGCUGUUGUAAAGAGAUGCGUUGUGUCGAAGCGUUAAAACUGCCGUGGAAAAGUUCCUUGGGUCCCAGCACGAGCACGAGAGACCUUGGCCAGUUUUAUG
rnacentral:sRNA from 2 species